rnacentral:rRNA from 1 species
UACGGAGGGUGCAAGCGUUAAUCGGAAUUACUGGGCGUAAAGGGUGCGUAGGCGGUUGUUUAAGUCUGUUGUGAAAUCCCCGGGCUCAACCUGGGAAUGGCAAUGGAUACUGGGCAGCUAGAGUGUGUCAGAGGGUGGUGGAAUUCCCGGUGUAGCAGUGAAAUGCGUAGAGAUCGGGAGGAACAUCUGUGGCGAAGGCGGCCACCUGGACCAGCACUGACACUGAGGCACGAAAGCGUGGGGAGCAAACAGG